UAAAAUGUAAAAAUAACAUUUAAAGGUGCAGUAGGUAAGAUUUAUUAAACUAACUCUGUCAUAUCUGCUGAAACUGGCCCUAUGUUCCAGUAAAACUACAUGAAGAGGG